rnacentral:tRNA from 1 species
CGGGGUGUAGCGCAGUCUGGCUAGCGCAGCUGCUUUGGGAGCAGUAGGUCGGAGGUUCGAAUCCUCUCACCCCGACCA